GGGCCGGCAGUAAUAUCCUCGGAAGUGACAACCCUGACGCAUCAACGCCGCGUGAGUGAGGAAGGUUUUCGGAUCGUAAAGCUCUGUCGAGUGGGAAGAAAUGUAUCAUGGCUAAUAUCCAUGAUACUUGACGGUACCGCUAAAGGAAGCACCGGCUAACUCCGUGCCAGCAGCCGCGGUAAUACGGGGGGUGCAAGCGUUGUUCGGAAUUAUUGGGCGUAAAGAGCGUGUAGGCGGCUGAAUAAGUCAGAUGUGAAAUCCCUGGGCUUAACCCAGGAAGUGCAUUUGAAACUAUUCAGCUUGAGUAGGGGAGAGGAAAGUGGAAUUCCUGGUGUAGAGGUGAAAUUCGUAGAUAUCAGGAGGAACACCGGUGGCGAAGGCGACUUUCUGGCCCUAUACUGACGCUGAGACGCGAGAGCGUGGGUAGCAAACAGGAUUAGAUACCCUGGUAGUCCACGCUGUAAACGAU
rnacentral:rRNA from 1 species